rnacentral:pre_miRNA from 1 species
UUCUUACUCCCUCCGUCCGAAAAUACUUGUCAUCAAAAUGGAUAAAAGGGGAUGUAUCUAGAUGUAUUUUAGUUCUACAUACAUCUCCUUUUAUCCAUUUUGAUGACAAGUAUUUUCGGACGGAGGGAGUAUUUG